UUCGUCUGCAGUUUAUGAGGAUGAGCACCUCCGCAGGAGGUUCGAGCCUCGCGAAGCGAGACAACGUUGCUUUAGCAACGGCCCGCAGGGCGCGCAUCAGCGAUGCGCGUAAUCCUCUCUCGCCGACCA
rnacentral:sRNA from 1 species